UACGGAGGGUGCAAGCGUUAUCCGGAUUCACUGGGUUUAAAGGGUGCGUAGGAGGGCAGGUAAGUCAGUGGUGAAAUCUCCAAGCUUAACUUGGAAACUGCCGUUGAUACUAUCUGUCUUGAAUAUUUGUGGAGGUGAGCGGGAAUAUGUCAUGUAGCGGUGAAAAUGCUUAGAUAUGACAUAGAACACCAAAUUGCGAAGGCAGCUCGCUACUCAAUUAUUUGACUCUGAGGCACGAAAAGCGUUGGGGGAUCAAAACAGG
rnacentral:rRNA from 1 species